GAGAAAUAUAAAUAAAUAAAUAAAAAUUAAAGAAAUAAAAAAUCAAUAUCUAGUCCAGAACACAAACCUGUACUUCAUUAAAGUUACUGAUCCCACAGCUAUGGAUCUUUUUGUCAUGUGAUACCUGGAAAUCCUGGCUAAAGGAUAACCAGAUCACACCAUUAUGUGUGACUAAAGGGGGUUAAAUGCUGAUGGAUCCUACCCUGAAGAGUAGGUGGGCGAUGAGUCUUUGGGCCAGUCUGGCUGGGGUGCUUAGGUUGCGG